rnacentral:misc_RNA from 1 species
GAAUAAACGAACGCAAGGCUUCAAGUUUCCGAGUAGAGAUUUUCUCUCGCCGGAAAUUUUCGGAUUCCGGCCGGCGGCGAUCACUUUCAGGAGGUUGUUUCACAGCAGUUCCGGCAUAUAGAACUUACCGUAGAGCUUGUACUUGAACAACAAUUCCGGCGGCGCUUCAGAUUUGGGGGAGUUGGAGGUUUGAGAUUUUGAGAUGGUGCUUUUCCCGGAAGUCAUUGAAGAAAUGGUAAGAAAUAUGUCGAUAAAGAAAAAGAAUAAUGAAGAUGAUGGCGGUAAAGAAGGGGGUCGAGAAGUAAUGAGUAAAGAGGGAAAAAGAAAAAAAUCCAUGAUUUGUUUAUCUGGAAGUGUUAAAACCACCAAGUUCGAUGAUAUGGCUUCUGUUUGCUCCAAGAGAGGAAAUAAAGGAAUUAAUCAGGAUUCGCUCGUUGUUUGGGAGGAUUAUGGCAACCGAGGAGAUGUAGUUUUAUGUGGAAUGUUUGAUGGGCAUGGGCCUUGGGGCCACAUGAUUAGCAAACAAGUCAGAAAGUCACUACCUUCUCAAUUACUUACCAAUUGGCAACAAAACCUUUCCAUGCAAACCGACCAAAACCAUCUCUUUCCUUUCAACCUAUGGAAGCAAUCUUGCUUAAAAACUUAUGCCGCCAUUGAUGAAGAGCUCAAGCAACACCCUCGCAUUGAUUCUUUUUACAGUGGCACCACCGCUUUAACCCUCGUUAAACAGGGGCGACACCUUGUUGUUGCAAAUGCUGGCGAUUCACGGGCUGUGUUGGCGGUAACUUCUGGUGAUGGCUGCUUGAAACCAAUUCAACUCUCCGUUGAUUUCCGACCUAAUUUGCCUGAGGAAGCUGAAAGAAUAAAACAAUCGAAAGGGAGAGUGGUAUGUUUAAAAGAUGAACCUGGGGUUUAUAGGGUGUGGACUCCCGAUUCAAGGACUCCAGGAUUGGCAAUUUCUAGAGCUUUUGGCGAUUAUUGCACCAAACAGUAUGGUCUCAUUUCUGUGCCUGAUGUAAGCCAUCGAAUCAUCACUACUUCAGAUCAAUUUGUCAUUGUCGCCACCGAUGGGGUAUGGGACGUCAUGUCGAAUCAAGAAGCGGUUCACAUAGUUUCUUCAACACCAAAUAGGGAAAUGUCGGCCAAAAGGCUAGUGGAUUGUGCUGCACGUGCAUGGAAAUCAAAGAAACGAGGGUUUGCAAGGGACGACAUGUCGGCCAUUUGCCUCUUUUUACAUGCUUCACCCGCAGAAAAUGAUUGAGUCGUAAGAUAUAAUAUAAGAUUCCUCCCCUCGUGUGUGGAGUAAAUAUAAUUCAGAAGAAAAAACUUUAGCCAAAUAAAAGGAAUAUUUGAGUAGUAAUGUAUUAUGUGAGGACAUGUGAGAGAUGUAUCUCUAUGUCCUCUUUGAAUUUUUAAUUUUGUAGAAAUUUCUGAUUAA